UAAUUUGAUAAUCCGCAAAAAACCUUACCAUAACUUCAAUAGCCCGAAUUUUUAAAACAAUUUGGGUAUCUAUGAUUUAAAUAAAAGCGUUGCACGGCUGUCUUCAGUUAAUGUCGUGAGACUUUGGUUAGCUCCAGUAAAUUAACGUAAACCCUUACUUUAUUUUUACAUAAAGUUGUUCCCCACUAUAUUGGAUAUGAUAACAGGGAUCAAGACAAGUCACCAUGGCCUACUAUGUUAU
rnacentral:rRNA from 1 species